ensembl:lncRNA
UUUGCAUUUCUUUUUCAUGGGAAUGGUUUUGAUCACCACCUCCUGUAUAAUAUCACAAACCUCCACCCAUAGUUCUUCAGGCACUCUGUCUACCAGAUCUAAUCCCUUGAAUCUAUUUGUCACUUCCACUGUAUAAUCGUAAGGGAUUUGAUUUAGGUCAUACCUGAAUGGUCUAGUGGUUUUUACUACUUUCUUCAAUUUAAGUCUGAAUUUGGCAAUAAGGAGUUCACAAUCAUAGCCACAGUCAGUUCCUGGUCUUGUUUUUGCUGACUGUAUAGAGUUUCUCCAUCUUUGUCUGCAAAGAAUAUAAUCAAUCUGAUUUUGGUAUUGACCAUUUAUUUGGUGAUGUCCAUGUGUAGAGUCAUCUCUUGUGUUGUUGGAAGAGGGCGUUUGCCAUGACCAGUGCGUUCUCUUGGCAAAACUCUGUUAGCCUUUGCCCUGCUUCAUUUUUACUCCAAGGCCAAAGUUGCCUGUAACUCCAGGUAUCUCUUGACUUCCUGCUUUUGCAUAUCAGUCCCCUAUGAUGAAAAGGACAUCUUUUUUGGUGUUAGUUCUAGAAGGUCUUGUAGGUCUUUAUAGAACUGUUCAACUUCAACUUCUUUGGCAUUAGCAGUUGGGGCAUAGACUUGGAUUACUGUGAUACUGAAUUGUUUACCUUAGAACGAACAGAGAUCAUUCUGUUGUUACUGAGAUUGAACCCAAGUAAUGCGUUUUGAACUGCUUUGUUGAAUGUGAAGUCUACUCCAUUUCUUCUAAGGGAUUGUUGCCCACAGUAGUAGAUAUAAUGGUCAUCUGAAUUAAAUUCGUCCAUUCUAGUCUAUUUUAGUUAACUGAUUCCUAAAAUGUCGAUGUUCACCCUUGCCAUCUCCUGUUUGAGCACUUCCAAUUUACCUUGAUUCAUGGACCUAACAUUCCAGGUUCCUAUGCAGUAUUGUUCUUUACAGCAUUGGACUUCCUUCACCAGUCACAGGUACAACAGGGCAUUGUUUUUGCUUUGGCUCCAUCUCUUCAUUCUUUCUGGAUCUAUUUCUCCACUCUUCUCCAGUAGCACAUUGGGCACCUACCAACCUGGGGAGUUCAUCUUUCAGUGUUAUACCUUUCUGGCUUUUCAUACUGUUCAUGGGAUUCUCAAGGCAAGAAUCGUGAAGUGGUUUGCCAUUCCCUUCUCCAGUUCCUGGUGCUGUCCAAUAGUCCUUGAUGUUCUAUGCUUGUAGCUACUCCUUACUCCAGUCACUUAACUCUGUUCUCCUUAUGUUUCUUCUCUUAAAAGAUGGGAUGUAGGGCCCAGCCUAUUCCAGUACGACCUGAGUUUAACUUAUUACAUCUGCAAUGGCACUAAUUCCAGAUAAAGUCUCAUUCUAAGGUCCAGGAAGGACAUGAAUGGGAGUAGGGAAGAGGAUUUGACACUAUCCAACCCAGAAUAGCUGUCAAAGAGCUUCAGAAGUAGGCAAGCCAAAUACAAUCAACAGCUGUAGUACAAGUGAACUCAAACAUAUUUUAGUUGGAUUUGAGAAGUUUUCAUGGACAAUGGGGCUUCCCAGGUGGCGCUAAUGGUCAAGAACACACCUGCCAGUGCAGGAGAUGGAAGAGACACAAGGUUUCCUCCCUGGGUCAGAAGAUCGCCUGGAGGAGGACAUGACAACCCACUCCAGUAUUCUUGCCUGAAAAACCUCAUGGACAAAGGAGCCCGGUGGACUAUAGACCAUAAGGUCACAAAGAGUCAGACACAAAUGAAACGACUUAGCGCGCGCGCGCGCGCACACACACACACACACACACACACACACACACACACACAGAAUGAGGGGUGGGUAGAAUUUGGAUGUGUCAUUCGUAGACCAUCACAGCGUGCUUGGCAAACAGACAGCACUGACCAUCACUGGUUGAAAUGUAAAAAGAAGUUAGGUUAAAGCAGGAGGGAUCUUAAAUGCAGGCUGAAGAGUUUGGAGUCUGCUCUGUAUGUUAAAAGAAUAAAUCGAAAUGUUUCAGGAUGUGGGGGUUGUGCUUGGAAGAUUAGUUAGUAACUUGAGCCAAACUUCUGUUGUGUUACUUACUCCAAUUUAAGGAGUAUUAAUCCCACCCUCUGAUACCCUGUGCUUUUUCUUCCUGGUGUCCCUGCUCAUGCUGUCCUUUAUUUCUGGAAUGCUGCUUUCAGGCCAUGUGAUUUUCACUUGUUGAUUUUUUUGUCAUGGAAAUUGUGCUGUGAUAUGAGGUGGGGAGGACAGUUGUUCAACUUACUGUUUUUUUUAAUUGAAGUAUAGUUGAUUUACAGUGUUGUGUUUCAGGUGUACAGAAAAGUGAUUCAUGUAUAUUCUUUUUCAGAUUCCUCUCCAUUAUAGGUUAUUACAAGAUACUGAAUGUAGUCCCCUGUACUUUAGUUCCCUAUGUAUUCCCUUGUUGUUUACCUACUUUAUAUAUGGUAACGUGUAUGUAUUAAUCCCAUAGUCCUAAUUUAUCCCCCCUCUUCCCUUUUGGUAACCAUAAGUUUGUUUUACA